rnacentral:rRNA from 1 species
UACAGAGGUCUCAACCGUUGUUCGGAUUCAUUGGGCGUAAAGGGUGCGUAGGCGGUCGCGCAAGUCGGAUGUGAGAUCUCAGGGCUCAACCCUGAAACUGCAUUCGAUACUGCGUGGCUCGAGUACUGGAGAGGAGACUGGAAUUUACGGUGUAGCAGUGAAAUGCGUAGAUAUCGUAAGGAACACCGGUGGCGAAGGCGGCUUCCUGGACCGACACUGACGCUGAGGCGCGAAAGCUAGGGGAGCAAACGGG